CACGUAGGGUGCGAGCGUUGUCCGGAAUUAUUGGGCGUAAAGGGCUCGUAGGCGGUUUAUCGCGUCGGGAGUGAAAACCUACAGCUUAACUGUGGGCUUGCUUUCGAUACGGGCAGACUAGAGGUAUGCAGGGGAGAACGGAAUUCCUGGUGUAGCGGUGAAAUGCGCAGAUAUCAGGAGGAACACCGGUGGCGAAGGCGGUUCUCUGGGCAUGAUCUGACGCUGAGGAGCGAAAGUGUGGGGAGCGAACAGG
rnacentral:rRNA from 1 species